rnacentral:rRNA from 1 species
CAGUAGCCACGGGAAUACGAAGGGGGCUAGCGUUGUUCGGAUUUACUGGGCGUAAAGGGCGCGUAGGCGGACUGAUAAGUCAGGGGUGAAAUCCCAAGGCUCAACCUUGGAACUGCCUUUGAUACUGUUUGUCUUGAGUUCGAGAGAGGUAAGUGGAACUGCGAGUGUAGAGGUGAAAUUCGUAGAUAUUCGCAAGAACACCAGUGGCGAAGGCGGCUUACUGGCUCGAAACUGACGCUGAGGCGCGAAAGCGUGGGGAGCAAACAGGAUUAGAUACCCGCGUAGUCCCUGUCUCUUAUAC